rnacentral:tRNA from 1 species
GCCGGUGUAGCUCAGUUGGUAGAGCAGCUCAUUCGUAAUGAGAAGGUCGAGGGUUCAAUUCCUUUCACCGGCACCA